AGUUUUCUCCAUGCUUACCACAUCCACUUUCUCCAUAGGCUUCACUUUCUUUGUUGGGGGCAUCGUUAAAUUGUGAAAGCACAGCUGUAAAAUUAUCUUCAUUAACGGAGUCCUCAGGUUCUAGAGGAGAACAUGAUUCUUUAUCAUGAAUUAGAGGACUUGAAUCCAUGAACUCAGAAUCAACAAUGCCAAUGUUAAGUGAUCCCACUGAUUCAACUAGAGAUUUUUCUCCAUGCUUACCACAUCCACUUUCUCCAUAGCCUUCACUUUCUUUGUUGGGGGCAUCGUUAAAUUGUGAAAGCACAGCUGUAAAAUUAUCUUCAUUAACGGAGCCCUCAGGUUCUAGAGGAAAACAUGAUUCUUUAUCAUGAAUUAGAGGACUUGAAUCCAUGAACUCAGAAUCAAUAAUGCCAAUGUUAAGUGAUCCCACUGAUUCAGCUAGAGAUUUUUCUCCAUGCUUGCCACGUCCACUUUCUCCAUAGCCUUCGCUUUCUUUGUUGGGGGCAUCAUUAAAUUGUGAAAGCACAGCUGCAAAAUUAUCUUCAUUAACUGAGUCCUCAGGUUCUAGAGGAGAACAUGAUUCUUUAUCAUGAAUUAGAGGACUUGAAUCCAUGAACUCAGAAUCAACAAUGCCAAUGUUAAGUGAUCCCACUGAUUCAACUAGAGAUUUUUCUCCAUGCUUACCACAUCCACUUUCUCCAUAGCCUUCACUUUCUUUGUUGGGGGCAUCGUUAAACUGUGAAAGCACAGCUGUAAAAUUAUCUUCAUUAACGGAGCCCUCAGGUUCUAGAGGAGAACAUGAUUCUUUAUCAUGAAUUAGAGGACUUGAAUCCAUGAACUCAGAGUCAACAAUGCCAAUGUUAAGUGAUCCCACUGAUUCAGCUAGAGAUUUUUCUCCAUGCUUGCCACGUCCACUUUCUCCAUAGCCU
rnacentral:lncRNA from 1 species